UGGGGAAUAUUGCACAAUGGGCGCAAGCCUGAUGCAGCCAUGCCGCGUGUAUGAAGAAGGCCUUCGGGUUGUAAAGUACUUUCAGUCGGGAGGAAGGUGUCAAGGUUAAUAACCUUGGCAAUUGACGUUACCGACAGAAGAAGCACCGGCUAACUCCGUGCCAGCAGCCGCGGUAAUACGGAGGGUGCAAGCGUUACUCGGAAUUACUGGGCGUAAAGCGCACGCAGGCGGUUGAUUGAGUCAGAUGUGAAAUCCCCGGGCUUAACCCGGGAAUUGCAUCUGAUAAUGGUCAGCUAGAGUCUUGUAGAGGGGGGUAGAAUUCCAUGUGUGGCGGUGAAAUGCGUGGAGAUGUGGAGGAAUACCGGUGGCGAAGGCGGCCCCCUGGACGAAGACUGACGCUCAGGUGCGAAAGCGUGGGGAGCAAACAGG
rnacentral:rRNA from 1 species